CUCGCACCUCGCGCCCGGAUGCCGCUCUCUCCCCGCGCGGUCACCCGUUCCCUGGGAAGCAGAGUGGGCAGCUGUGGCAGAUGGGACUGAUGGGACGAGGACGACGCGUGGAAAUGACUGUGAGGGUGGACAGAGGCCUGGGGGUCUGGAUCUGUCACCAAGGCUGGAGUGCCAGGGCACCACCAUAGCUCACUGCAGCCUCGCUCUCCCAGGCUUAAGUGAUCCUCCUGCUUCAGCUCCUGGAGUAGCUGGGAUUACAGGUUUGUGCCACCAUGCCCAGCUAACUGUUGUUAUUUUUUUGUAGAGAUGGGGUCUCACUAUGUUUCCCAGGCUAGGCUCCAGUGAUCCGCCCUCAUUGGCCCCCCAAAGUGCUAGGAUUAUAGGCAUGAGCCACCUUGCUGGCGUAAAUUAUCCUUAAUAUACAAACACACACACACACACGUAUGUACACACACAUUAUGUAAUAUCGGUAUGUUUUAAAUGUUUACAUAUAUGUAUCACAUCUUGUUUUUUCACUCAUAAUUAUCUUUCAAAUUAAUCCAUUAAUAAAUUCUAUCGCAUGAAUAAAAAAAAUCUAAUUUUCCAGUCUUAGAGUAAACAUCAACGGAAAAGCCUCACUGUGGUCCUGUAUACCUUGUUGGCUGUCCCAUUUCACACGCCCCUUGGAGCCAAACUUCUCACGCGUUUUCUCCAUGAGCAGUUUCUACCUCCUCACCUCCUGUUUAUUCUAUCCGCACUCCAACCUGGCUUCCACUGUCACCAAGGGAUUGAAACUGCUGGACGAGGCUACAGCAACUCCCACAUUACCACAAAGCUUGUAUUUCAAAGGUGCACAUCUAAACUGGGAUGUCUGGCCGGGCAUGGUGGCUCACACCUCUAAUCCCAGCACUCUGGGAGGCAGAGGUGGGUGGAUCACCUGAGGUCAGGAGUUUGAGACCAGCCUGGCCAACAUGGUGAAACCCUAUCUCUACUAAAAAUACAAAAAAAAGAAAAAAUUAGCUGGGCAUGGUGGCACAGGCCUAUAAUCCAAGCUACUCAGGAGGCUGAGGCAGGAGAAUUGCUUGAACCCUGGAGGCGGAGGUUGCUGUGAGCUGAGAUCGUGCCACUGCACUCCUGGGUGACAGAGCAAGCCUGGGCGACAGAGCAAGACUCCGUCUCUAAAUAAAUAAAUAAAUAAAAAAAGGACAUC
rnacentral:lncRNA from 1 species